UUAUUCGAAGUCAGUCUGGACCAUUUCUAUUGAUCAACUCAUCAUUAAAAUUUCAAGGUUUUGUUCCAACAGUGACUUUAUGUUUAUAGUCAUUCAUCAGAUUUUAUUCAUUUUUACAGUUCCACCUGUUAACAAGACAGAAGAUAAUCCCUCUAACAAUGGGACAGAGAUUAAAGUUCCACCUGUUAACAAGACAGAAGAUAAUCCCUCUAACAAUGGGACAGAGAUUAAAGUUCCACCUGUUAACAAGACAGAAGGUAA